rnacentral:sRNA from 1 species
GCGGGCCUUUUCGCCGCCUUAAGCAAGUGGGCAUCGGAUUUUGAAAAGGAUAUCCAACGGCCGUAAAUGCAAGCACGUUCCAGUGCUUGUUUCACGGUGGUAUCUCCGGUGGUAUUCCCGUGAAGCGGUCUGAGCAAGGACCGCGCAAUGAAACGAUACCUCGGUAUUGUUCUUAUUGUAUUGGCUGUCGUGUUGAGUGCCGGGAAGGGGAGUUGGAAUAUUUCUAAUAACUCUCUCAAAGUGAUCAUCACUACCACCAACAAGUAAGCUAAAUAGCCACCCAAUUGGGUGGCUAUUUUU